rnacentral:tRNA from 1 species
UUAUAAAUAAACUAAACAAGUUAUUAGGCUCAUACCCUAACAAUAGAAAUCCUUAAUCUUCUUUUAUAAA